AUUGAACGCUGGCGGCAUGCCUUACACAUGCAAGUCGAACGGUAACGGGCCUUCGGGUGCCGACGAGUGGCGAACGGGUGAGUAAUGCAUCGGAACGUACCUUUCAGUGGGGGAUAACGUAGCGAAAGUUACGCUAAUACCGCAUAUCUGUGAGCAGGAAAGCAGGGGAUCGCAAGACCUUGCGCUGAUUGAGCGGCCGAUGUCAGAUUAGCUAGUUGGUGAGGUAAAGGCUCACCAAGGCGACGAUCUGUAGCGGGUCUGAGAGGAUGAUCCGCCACACUGGAACUGAGACACGGUCCAGACUCCUACGGGAGGCAGCAGUGGGGAAUUUUGGACAAUGGGGGCAACCCUGAUCCAGCCAUGCCGCGUGAGUGAAGAAGGCCU
rnacentral:rRNA from 1 species